GAGCAACCACUCAAUGGUUUCACCAUCUGAUUUGUGACCAAGCUCCCUUGUUAGCUGGAAAACCCUAGCAGCACACGUAGCCGGCAUGCGGAUGCGACGGCCUCGGCCUUCCACUUUGGUGUGCCGGUCCUUGGUCGAAGUCCUCUUAGGUGGAGGUUUCUUGGAGGGAGGUUCCAAGGUUGGUUUGGAGCUGGUGUCGACGUCGGCAGGGUCGGAACGAGGUUGUUCCUUCUUUUCUAGGAGCUGAAGAGGAAAGUUCGGCCUGCGGAUCCCAUUUUCAUCCAUGAUCAUGUAUGAGAGAGUGGGAUUAUAUCUUUUUGGUGGUUUGGCUCUCCUAGUACAUGAUCUGAAGGUGACCCUCAAUUCAGUGACUUUGAUGGCCUAGGGGGUCUCUUUCAUUUUUGCUAUAUGAUGUUGUGUUGUGUAGCUUGGAAUUCCCUUUAGAUGGGGAAGAUUGAAGCUGCUGAGUUGGUUUUCUUAUCUCUGCACAGACCAAAGAGAGAGAGGGGAUAAGGGGAAGAGGGCAAGCUUUAAGCAACAACUACAAUGAGUGAGAAUUAUGAGGGUGGGCUAUGAAAGAAAAGCAGUGACUUUUUUCGGAUGGGAAAUAAUUCGUUUCAUUGAGGACCUCUUUGUAAUUUUCUCUUUUCUAUACUUCUUGUGAAAUAAAAUAAAAUCAUAUUAUUGUGGUUGGAUAGUCCCUUGAUUCAAACUCCACGUGCGGUGCUCUUUUAUCAUUCAAUCCAUAAAGACAGUGGUGGGCCCCGCGUCACCUUUACUCAAAAAAACUCAAUCACUCUCUCUCCAUCGUUAAAUUAUACAAAAGAGAAAGGCAAAUUAUUUAGAUAUAAUAAAGUGGUCCCCAUUCCAUUCUUGUAAUCAUUGCCUUAAUUUUAAAACAAAAGUUUACCUCUAAAUAAUUCCAUUACUUGUUAAUGGUUUUAUAUUAAGUUUGAUUUUUCUUAAAAACUCUUCCAAGAAGAAAAUCCGUUUAUUGGGGAUGAGAGUGAAGGAUACUUGAUGAAAAAUCUUUCAGUAGAUUUCUGAGUCAAUACCCAACACUUUUCAGGUCUCCAUCUUUGAACAUGUGAGCCAUACAGUCUGCAAUAUUAUAUAUAUAUAUAUGUGUGGUCCUUGAAAGUAUUGUUUAAAAAGCUUAUAUACCCAAAAUAUGCCUUUUAUUCCAUUUUCCAUUAAAGGCUUUCAUCUCUAUUUAUUUUCAAGUUUUGUAGGAGCAGGGGAACAUUUCAUAAGAUCAAUAGUCUAAAUCUUCCGACCAAUUGAACGUUGUGCAUGAGGAAUGUGGUGUUAGAUAAGGUGAAAGAAUAUAAACUUUUCUUUUAUGCCAAAUUUUGUUGGGACAUAAUAGUAAAAAGAACGAAAAAUCAUUUGGAUAACAUAGAUAAAUAUAAUGUAAUUACGCAUUGUCAAUCAAAUACAUCUAAAGAAUUAGAAUUCUUUGUAAUUAUAAAAGGAUGUAAUUACUAGUUUAGUAAUUAUAGUUUUAUCCAAUUAUUUUGUGGUGUCUAAGCACACUCUAACUAAAAAAGAAAAUCUGGUUAAAAAAAUUAACCUAAAACUUUUAUUCAAUAAAUUAUCGUAUUAGUCCCUCUAGUAUGUUCAAACUUUAAAUUUAAUCAUUACACUUUAAUUUGGCAUAAAAGUGGAGUUCUAGUCUUAAUAUCUAAAAUCCCUUCUUCUUCUUCUUUUCGAGCAAUCAAUAUAUUUACUCAUACUAGUGUAAAACUUAACUAAUUUUACAUACUUAUAUAUGUAAAUUUUUAUACGACUAAUAUUUUUAUAAUUCAUCCGUAAGCAAUUGUUGAUGAAUAAAACAACUUGAAUUAUACCAUAUGUGUAUAUGUAUACAUAUAGUAAAUAAAAAAGACCCACCAGCAAAGAGGAAUGAGAGAGAAGGCAUAGCACGUCUAACCCAUGUGCCUAACAGGCCGAAGUGUAGCUUAAAAGGGAACAAAAACAAGCACAUUGCCUAAAAUAUAGCGACUUCCAAAAUCUAUUUCAACAACCAACAUACCUAACUAUCUCAUAAUUCCAUUUUCUUUUCCCCAUCUUCUCUAAUCAUUUUUUUCCCUCUAAAUCUCCACUAAUCACCCUUCUUCCUCUUGAUUAUGACCCUUCCUUAAUAUGUCACCUUUCUUGUUUUAACUUUUUCAUUUCUUUUUUGUUUUACUAAAUCUUCGUGAUGUUGAAGAAAAAAAAACCCCAGUACAUUGUCAUUUCAAGUUCCCUACACCUUAACAUGCAUGUAACAAAACAAUGGUGUGUACGCAGACAGUGGCAUUUGCCUCUUUGGAUAUAUGGUUUAAUUCUUUUUUAGUCCUCUUAAAAUUUAAUUAUUUUUAGCUUUUAUGUUAAAUGAAUAAUUCUUUAGCUUUAUCUUCCAAAAUUUUUAAUUUUAUCCUAAUCACUCUUGAGUUGAAGCCUUGUUAAAAGAAAAUCAUACAGCACAAUGAUUCUUGAUAUGAAACCAAUAAUGUUAAAGUUGUCCUGAUGAAGUACUGUUUAUUAUAAAGGAACACCACAUAGAAGAAUUAAUACUUUUUUUAUCUGAAACUUUACAAAUGGUAUAUGUUAUAACAUUAUCUCUAUGUAAGUAAUAAUAAGAGUUGAGGGUGUACGCAUGGACAAGGGAAGUUGUAUAAAUUCUAUUCAAUAUUACCUUUUUUAAAAAUAAUUAAAAACUAAUAUUUUCUGGCAAGCCGAUUGUAAAAAUAAAUAAAGGGUCUCAUAUGCAGUAUAUCUCACAUCGUUUUAUCUUUUCAUUCAUCAAAUUAUUGAUAUUAUUACUAUUUUUCAUGUCUAAAAAAAAAUGAAGUAAGUUUGAUCUAAGCAAUUUUAGCAUUAACUCUUGGACCAAUAAUAAUGGGAUUUGGACCACAGCAGUGAUGUACUAUUUUAUGGUUGCUGCACGGUACAAAAACAUGCAAUCAUCUUCAUUUCAAUACAAAGUGUUUUUUAUUUUUAUUUGGGUAAUAGAAGAAAUCCUAUGUGGGUGUUCCUCUUCCGCUUAAAUUUUUUAAAUUUCUCUUAAAUCAAAUUUUGCCUAAAUUCCAAACAAAGUUUAUAAAUAUAUGAGUGGAAAAUAGUCCCCCAUUGGGGAAGAGAUCACGUGGCUUGCCAUCUUUUGCCGGUGAUGCUGAUGGCUUACCCUCCAUUUUUGUGUUUAAUUAUUUAACCGGAAUGUUAGUUGUAAAUCACCCCCUUGAUUUCUUCCCUUUUUGGGUCAAGCUGGCCGCUCUCUUUCUUUGAAUAUCAUUAACAGCAAUCGGAUAAGAUGUUACCCUUUUAACAUCUGUUCAUAAAUGAGAAUAUUUCAGAAUUUUUUGAAAUUUUAUAUUUUAUUUUAUUAGUCUCCUCAAUUAAGUUUUAAUUCAAUUGGUAUUGAUACGUGGGUUCAAGUACGCUCAAGAGCAUUAUCCUCCUAUUUUAAUGGUGUAGAUAUUAUAAUAAUAGUAAUAAUAUUUUUGCUGUGUUUGAAUAGUGGGGUGACAAAUGAAUAUAAUUAUUAAAUGUGAUUAUAACUUUUUGUAUAAUUUGUAAUGUAUUUGAAAUGUUAUAUUCAAAUAGCAGAAGCAUAGUAAUAAAAGAGACUACCAUUCUAAUACGGAAACAAAAUUAGAUGGAAUCACAGCUUGGCUUCCUCCCAAUUAUAUCAACUUUCAUUUCUUUGGGAUAACUUCCAUCAAUUUCUUUCAUCCAUAAUUGUUUUGGAUUUUGUUUUUUUUUUCAAUUUCAUCCACCAGCUUAGUUUCCAUUAAGUAUGAUGAUGUGACACUAUGAUAUUUAUAUCAAAUCAUCAUUUGAAAAUUUAAAAACUUAUAUUAAAUCUAAAUAAAAUAUUAAAUAUUAUAACAUCUUUAUUUCUUUUUUUUAAAAAAUCAAGUGAUAAUAUGGUACAAUCUCAAAGUGUUACGUCAUCAUGUCUUAACAAAAUCUAAGUGCAUGGACCAAAUUGAGAAAGGUACAAAGUUUCAAGACUAAUGUGGACUAAAAAUGUUGCAAUUUUUUUUCAAUUUGGUCCUUGAACUUCUUUUGUACACACUCCACAAUAGUCCUAGAAUUUGGUAACUUUUCCUAACUUGGCCCAUGAACUUGGAUUCCGUUAAGUACGAUGAUAUAACACUCUGGGAUUGUACCAAACCAUCGCUUAAUUUCAAAGUGGUACAAUCUCAAAGUGGCACAUCAUCGUACCUUAGCUAAAUCCAAAUGCCAGUACCAAAUUAAAAAAAAAACUGCAAAAUUUUAAUACUAAUAUAGACUAAAAAAAUUAAAAAGGAGCAAGAUAGGAAAAAACUUCCAAUCCAACAACUAAAAGUUACUUUAUCUUAAUUAAUAAAAAAUUUGAUUUAAAAAAUUGACAGAUUAACUGUUUGGGAAGAAAAAGGCUGGCUAAAGCCAAUAAAGAAAUUUCCACCAUCAUCCAUGGCUGUAUGAAAGAAGAAGAGUGGGUCAUUUUCUCUUUUAAGACUAUUUCCUAUGACUUCUCUACCUUAUACUCUUUUUUCUUAUGUUCAUAUAUAUUUCUUUUUAAAAACAAAAAAACCCUUUUGAAACGCCUUCGAAAUUGACUCUAAAAAUUUUGUCUACAAAAAUGCAAUGGCCAAGUCAAGCAAAUAUAUAGAGAAGAAAAUUCAAAUGCAAAUAAAUGUUAGGCCUAAUUGAGUAGAAUAUUUUGUACAACAAAAAUUUUGAUUUAGAAAACAAUUUUAAGACCUACUAGGUGCUGCUGUUGGCUAAUAAAAUGCCAACUGAGUCAGAUUGAAUUUAUAUAUAUCAUUAAUUUAUAUUAUUAUUUAAGUUUAUAAUUGAAUUGGUAUCGACUGUUAUGAGUCGAUCAGAGAUCAACUCGAUUAGGGUAAUUAUAAAAAUAUUCUUCCAUAAUUAAAAUAAAUUAUAUUAUCUAAAUGUAUUUUAAUCUUUUUUUUAUUUUAAGAAAAACCAAUAAAAAGAAUAAAGCAUGAAAGCCAUACACUUGUUGAACACUAGCUAGUUGAAUCAUGCCUAUUUUCUCCACCGUGGUGUUGAUGUGAUCCUCCGGCCGGAGGCUCGGAAACACCAAUACCCGGAACUGGUCUAUAAGCGUUUAGUGACGCCAGCAUACUUAAAUGAGUGUCUGUAACUGAGCCGCCGCCGGCACCGAUUCCGGAACCAAAUUGUUGGGCAGGGAGGAGAGCCAUUGGAGCGGCUAAAUUCAUAAAAUGCACCCCACUAGACAUAGUACCCCUAUACAUAUUAGUGUUAUUUGUUGAAGGAAAUGUCCACAUGGGAUCCCCAGUGCCACUCCCACUGAUGACUUGGUUGCCGAUCCAAAAUGUCGCCGGGAUCGGAUUAUGACUUGUCGGAAUCGAACCCGUAUUAGAUUGUAUCAAGUAACUUCCCACCUGAUUUUGUGGCGAUUCUUGCUGCUCCGGCCUCCUCCUCUUCCCUAUACUAGUAUCCGCGGCCUCGGCGUCCCGAAUCUCUUGCUUUGCUUGCAAGAAAGCGUUCAAAGUAGUGCUACUAGUACCAGGAAAGGUCAAUGAAUCUUCAGAUGAUAAAGCAACACCAGGAAAUAAAACCCUUCGUUGCUGUUGUUGUUGUUGAGAUGAAUCGUCAAGGACAUUCCUUUGAUCCCAUUCAUUCCUCGUCCUCAAUUGUUGUGUGGUAAAAUUUGGAUUGAAAUAAGUGUUCCUUAAGUGUGAAGCCGACAUGCUAGAACCUGAACUUCUUAGUGAAAUAUUAAGGGACGUGAAAUUUGCAGGGAUAGUACCUGUCCCCGUGGCAGCAAAAACCGCAGGCUCAGCUUGUUGGAGCAACCACUCAAUGGUUUCACCAUCUGAUUUGUGACCAAGCUCCCUUGUUAGCUGGAAAACCCUAGCAGCACACGUAGCCGGCAUGCGGAUGCGACGGCCUCGGCCUUCCACUUUGGUGUGCCGGUCCUUGGUCGAAGUCCUCUUAGGUGGAGGUUUCUUGGAGGGAGGUUCCAAGGUUGGUUUGGAGCUGGUGUCGACGUCGGCAGGGUCGGAACGAGGUUGUUCCUUCUUUUCUAGGAGCUGAAGAGGAAAGUUCGGCCUGCGGAUCCCAUUUUCAUCCAUGAUCAUGUAUGAGAGAAUGGGAUUAUAUCUUUUUGGUGGUUUGGCUCUCCUAGUACAUGAUCUGAAGGUGACCCUCAAUUCAGUGACUUUGAUGGCCUAGGGGGUCUCUUUCGUUUUUGCUAUAUGAUGUUGUGUUGUGUAGCUUGGAAUUCCCUUUAGAUGGGGAAGAUUGAAGCUGCUGAGUUGGUUUUCUUAUCUCUGCACAGACCAGAGAGAGAGAGGGGAUAAGGGGAAGAGGGCAAGCUUUAAGCAACAACUACAAUGAGUGAGAAUUAUGAGGGUGGGCUAUGAAAGAAAAGCAGUGACUUUUUUCGGAUGGGAAAUAAUUCGUUUCAUUGAGGACCUCUUUGUAAUUUUCUCUUUUCUAUAUUCCAUUAUAUAAUUUGUAUGAUUUUCAUUAUGAAAAUAAAAUAAAAUAAAAUAACCCUAAGCUUUUAUUUAUUUAUAGAGAGAGAGAGAGAGAGAGAUCAUAUUAUUGCGGUUGGACAAUCCCUUGAUUCAGACUCCACGUGUGGUGCUCUUUACCAUUCAAUUCAUAAAAGACAGUGGUGGCCUAAGGCUGAGGCCCCAUCCCCUUAACUCUAAAAACUCAACCUCUCUCUCUCCAUACCAAAGAAAAAGCAAUUUAUUUAGAUAUAUAUGACAUAAUAAAGUGGUUCUCAUUCCAGUCUCGUAAUCAUUGUCUUCUGGCUUUGAUGUUAAUGUUUAAAUAAAAGUUUUGCAAUCUAAUUUACCGGUAAAUAAUUCCAUUAAUUUUAUGGAGGAUUUAAAGUGAUAUUAAUGAAACAUUGGCUGAAUAACGAAGUCCAAGUCUUGAAAUUUCAUAUCUCAUAUUCAAAUUUUAUUUUAGGCAUAUUUAUGGUUAAGGCUUAAAUGAAAAUUAAUUACAUAGAUCAAUUUAGAUAAAAUUUGAAGUUCAUAAUUUAAAACGAAUCAAACUUGAAUAAUUAACCAUGUUUGUACCUAACCCGAUUAAAUAAAAACCUCUAGUACAUAGUUCUAUUAUGAUCUUAAAUGUUGGUUGGGUGGAAAACAGGUUAGAUGGAGUUGAGACGAAAAUUAGAGUAGAGAUUUCUGUUUUGGUCUAAACUAGGAUUUAAUGUUUUAUUCAACUCUUUGUAAGUAUGGGAUAAGCAUUGAAGUUUAAAGGGAUAAGUCGAUCUGAAGUAUUAUAAAUUCUUUGGUGACCCACAAUCCAGCUCACAGAAUGAAAAGUCCUUCUCCAGUCACACUGGCAAAGUUGGUGGGUGGGCUGACACUGCCACAUCACUCUCUCGACAGUUGGAAUCUUCUUUAAGCGAUGACGUCAUCCACGCCACGUGGAAGCGUCAAGGUGGCCGCACCGCCUCCUCUUCUUCUUCCUCCCUCCAAAAUCUUAGGGCUGAUGUCAACAACACUGUGACAAUGGAGAAAAGAAAAGAGAGAAGAAGUUGGGUCACAUCAUAUCAUGCAUGACUUUUUAGCCACCGCUCUCUGCUUUUGGGAUUUCCGUUAUGCUUUACUGAAAAUGAAUGAAUGGAUUUGUGGGCUACAGCCUUAGCCUUAGGCUUUAGGCUACGCAUUCUAGUUAAAUAAACAAAUUUUAAUUAUACUUCUUACUAUUAAUUUUGAUUUUCUUUUAUCUUUUCCUACUCCAUUCAUCAAAAUCCAAUGAAGACAAACACACAACCCAAAAAGCCAUUUCUCCCAUAUAUCAAUAUGUAUUAAAACCUGUUUUAAUUUCUUAUAUUCCUUUUUAUUUCAAACUAAAAAAAUUUAAUCUUAAAAAUAUAAAUUAAAUUUAACCGGAAAGCCACCCCAAUUAUAAAUAAUUUAUAUAUAUAUAUGCAUUAAUAAUAACUUAAUGGGACCACCUAACCUCUAAAUUUCAAACUAGGUGAUUGUCACAUGAUUGACUAUGGAAUGAUUUGGGGAAAAGGGCUUUAAUAUUUUCCAAACUUUACACUAUAUACGUCAAGGUACUACUAUUAUUUUUCUUAUCCUUGAAGAACUAUUUUGGGGGUAAGUUCCAAACAACAUUGUCUUAGAGAAAACGACAAAUUAUAGAGCUCUAAAUAAAUAUGGUUGGCCGCCAGUGACUUAGGGAAUAAUAACUCAUAUAUACUGAAGUAAUAAUUAGUUGGAAAGUUCUCAAGAAGGAUGGAGGUAAAACGAAUCAUUUGAACUCUAGAUGACUCCAUUCAAAAAAUUUUAACUACUAAACUCAAAUCAUCCAAAACUCGAGCAAUUAAAACUUAAUGAAACUCAAGUUCAAAACUAAUUUAAAUCUAAAUUUUACACGUUCCUAAUUUGAUAUUUAAAUUUUUUUUACCCAAUUUAAUACUUGAAAAAUUUUUUUUAUCCAAUUUGAUACAUAAGCUUGACAACUUUUUCCUAACGGUGUUAUUUUUUUUUUAAUGAGAACAAAAACAACUAAUAUAUGACCAACAUGUGACCGGACAUGAAAUUUAAUGGCAAGAAUAAUUACAUUAAAGCUGAAAUUAUUGACUACUAAUGUCAAGAACGAUUCAAGAAAGACCACAUGCUUAAAACAUAGUCCGAUCUUUACAAAACUCUCAAUUCCACAAAAAUAUCAUCAAUAUUAGAGAAAAUGUGUUAAAUUUUUUUUUUCAUUAAGCUAUGGUUAAUGAAUUAAUAUUGAAUAAGAAAAUAAGAGUUUUAAAAACCAAAAUAAAAAAACCAUUAAUAAAUAAAUUAAAAUAGAAGUGAUUGAACAUUUAAAAUACAAAAAAAUCAUUCCAUCUACAACAUAUCAAUCAUACAUUAAUUUUUGUUACCUAAAAAUAUAACAUUGUUAGUAUAAUGAAAUAAUUUGCAUAACUUUCGACAAGUUCAAAUACCAAAUCAAACCAAAGCAAAAGAUUAGGUACCAAAUUAAGAAAAAGUGUCAAGUUCAUAUACUAAAAUUGGACUCGAGAAAAGUUCAAGUACCCAACUAAAAAUAAGUAUCAAAUUUGGAUACCAAAUUAAGAAAAAAAAUAUCAAAUUCACGUACCAAAUUGAAACAAAAAAGUCUAUGUACCAAAUUAGGAAAAAUAAUUGAGUUUAGGUACCAAAUGUUAUAUUAAACCAAUCUAAAAUAACCCAAAAAAAUCUAGAACUCAAAUUAACCUACCAUGACACAUUGAUCCGACCUGCCUAAAUAUGAGGUCUGUUUCACAGUAUUAAACCUCUCUUUCUGUAAAUGAAUCCUUCUGGGUUUUGGACGAAAUGCUUUAUUCGGGCUCCUUCAAAAUCACCAUCGAAUGAACACCACAGCCCAAAGAUCAACAAAAAAAAAUUACAUUAUUACAUUGUGGUGUGUGUAGUAUUACUUUUGACUAAAAGCACUCUUUUUACGGCAAAAGCAAUACUAAACAAAGUGCUUUUACCAUCAAAAGUCUUUCUAAAAGCACUGUUGAAAUUACAAGCUAUUACAUGAUACACAUGAAAAAUGUUCUACAAUUUCUAAAACGUGAUCACAAAGGGUUCAGGGACCCCAACAUAAAUAUAAAAACUGCCGAGGCAUAUAAAACAUCAACACUGUUUCAGGACAAAAAAGAGGUUACUUCUUUACCCGCCAAGUAGCAGCCUUUUAGCGCAUCUCAAACACUAGGGCUAAAAAGGCCCCAGUCAUUUGCUUUGAAGUUUGUAACAGCUAGUUUAAAGAUUUCAACCAUCGGCAUGAAUCCAGAUUGCGUCGCAGGAAUAGCUAAUCCUGCACCAACUGCACUAGCGCUUUCACUUAAUGGACUGCAAUCAUAAUAGAUGGUAGCAAAAGUAUCAUACAUAAAUGACUGUGUAAUUCCAAAGUCGAUGGGGCAAUCAGAACUUUUGGUCACAUUACUUCCCAACAAGUUAAAAAAGAAACAGUUACUGAAACAGGUUUUUAAUAUCAUGUUUGCUAUAUUAAUGUCUUAAAUGAUAAAAGAACAACAAAAUGAUAUGUCAUGAUAUUCCUAUACAGAAAAAACAGCGGUGAAGCGUUAACACUUACUUUAUCACAAUGGGCUCAUAUGCAGUGAUCAGAACAUCUGUUCCUACUUCCUUAAGACGUAUGUUUGCAAGAUAGACCUUCAUGGAUAUUCAUCAAGAAACCAUUUUUCAAUUUAGAACUGAAUAAAAACUGCGAAAGCUGAAAACACAAGAAAUGCUACCUUGAUAAUAUUCUGAGCUUCUCUUCCUUGCCGUCCCUUAGAAACAGCCUAUGCAUAGAAGGGAUUAAAAGAUAUGAGAGACAGAUGGGAAGCAAUGAAAGUCAAGAACUAAUAUCCAACCACCAAUCUAACUGGUGUUAUAGUAACCAGGCAUCAAGACACAUAUUACUGUCCCAGACAGUCUACAAUGAACCAUUUGACAGUCUUGGCAAUACAGACUAACAACAAUAAAGCAAUACCUUUUGCUUUGCUCUAACCAGGAGAAAUUGCAUCUGGUAUUGGGGCGGAUCAAUCAUAGCAAAAAGUUCAUGACAUUGAAGAUAAAGGACAUGCACCCAAAAUUUAAGAUUAAUUGUUUCAGAACUUCCCAACACAUGUUCAGACCAUUACCAACAGUUUUUUUACCUUGCUAAUAUCAUCUAAUCUUACAAUUUCAGUCCGUCAAUAAUCGAAACAUUAUGCAUCCCCUCUGUAUUAACAUAAAAAUAUGCUAGAGGCAAUCAACCUAAAUUUUAGCUUUUACACCCGCACAUGCAUAUACAUAAUAGCACACACAAUGAAUGAACACAUUAUCAUUUAAGUCAAUGAACAGCUCAUAGAGAGUAUCCAAUCUGACAUAGUCUGGUAGAAUUUAAAGGUUACUGUGCCAAGCAUGUAAAUUAAGAUGAUAGAAUGUUAAGAGUAAGAAAUAUCGAGACUCGAGGAAGAGAAUAAAGUUUGGCAAGGCAGAUAUUUGUGGACAGCAGAAAAUGAAAGUUGAAACUAGUAACAAUGGAACUCUAAGAAAAUGUCUGCUAAAAUGACUCGUACCAUUUGGCCAACUGCAGUUGUAACAAUGGCUGGAAUGUUUUUGUAACACAACCCAGGAGCCUCAACCACUGUUGACCGCUCAAGCAGCUGAAACAUAUAGCAAGAAAGAAAAUGUUAGGCCUACAACCAUAUCAAGUCUCAAACAGUUGCCAAGCAAAUAAAAGAAUGUGCAGAAACAAUGUACCGAAUGUCUUUAACAUCAAUUGGACCUAAGGAAAUAUGAAAGACAACCAGACCAAUGCAUAAAACACAGUAUCCUAAUUGUCAAAGAACAAGUAGAGCUUAUAGUUCUUAUUUCAUUAACAAUGAUAUAGCCAAUUAGCCAUACAGGCAAAACCAAUCAUUUUUUGAAUUGGGGGUAGGGGCAGAGAUGUGUGAAGGAUGGAACAAAGCUUUUGAUCCAUAGAACACAAGAAUCUUUCUCCUAGGCCAAGAGGUUAUCGGCCAAAAACCAAUCAUUCUCUUUUGUGGAGUAUACUCCAUAAUCCAAAAGAAAAUAAAUUUAAAAUAAAGAACCAAGAAUUAAAAAUGUAGUACAAGGGAAAAGAAAACUAUUUAGACCACUAUAUUUAGACCAGAUAUCCUAUAAAAGUUUGAGGGCAGUACUGUUAGCUACAUUAUAAUGCCAUAAACCAACAAAUCCUAUAUUGGGUAAUGGAACGAUGUAAAAUUCUCAAAUGAUAAGCCUAAAUCUGUAAAAUCAAAAUUGCUUUAAAUUACACUUUCCUAACUACUAUAGAAUCGAGGAAAUGACAUAAGAGAACAUAAAAGGCUACCGUGAAUCCUUCACCAUCUUGUUCAAUGGCAAGAUCUUGAAUAAACCAGACAGCACUCCCUUCAUCUCCAACGUCAUGCUUGUAAUCUAAUAACUCAAAUACUAAGCUCUCAUCACGUGCAGGGUCCACAAAAACCUCCUUUAAUUUCAACACACACACACACGAAAAGAAAGACUAUCAGAUAAAUAAACAAAUUAAAAAUAAAGAGUACCAAAAAGGAAAACAGAGAACGAUAUACUAACCUGAUGAUCGGGAACUUGCCUGAUGUUACUGACAUCCUACAAUAAUGAACAAUGUUAAAAACAGAGCUUAGUUAUAUAAUUAUUGUAAUUAUCUAGUUAUAAUCUCUCUACCAUGCUGAAAUUUAAGAUUUAAUCUUCUACUUUAAUUGGGCAUGAUUUGAUCUUCUCCAAACUGAAAACACUUAUUUAUUUGCUGCCGUUAAAUUGAUCGCAUGAAAUUCUUCUCAAAACAACCUUAAGUGCAUUUGACUUACAUUCGUUGAAUUUGAACAUGGUUUAAUAUUUUCACGUUACUCCGAUACUGUGAUAAAAAAAAUUAUAUGCCAUUACUUUUACAGAAAUCACUAAAAGUGUCAUCAAACGUUAUAAAAGACAAAAUAAUACCAAAUUAAAAUUGAAAAAUUAAAUUCAACAUGGUGGAAGGACUAAAAUCAGAAUUGAACCUACUAUAGAGCAUGAAAUUGAAGAAAAAAUAAAUAAAGUAACCUGAAACCUAAGAGGAAAAGUAGUUGAGAUUGCUCCACCGAACAAAGGCCUUUCAGAUAAUAAAUCUGCAGACAUUUUUACUGAAAAUGUCCACUGAACGGAAAAUCAAAAAAGAAAAAAGAAAUGGCGAAGAACAGAUUUUUACUA
rnacentral:lncRNA from 1 species